AUAUAUUGAGUUAUAAAGGAAAAGAGAUCAAUAAUGCAAAGAGGCUGCUUUCCUACCAUAUUAAAUACUAUGAAAUAAUCGUUGUUUGGGCUGCGUUUGAUUCAAAAACUAAAUUAUGAAGGUAACUUUUGUUCUUCUCGACAACAGGUAACAGUUUUAUUUUGUUUGUUUGUUUCUGAAAAGAUAUUCCUGAUAGUUUUUUUGAAUAUUUAUGUCGGAAUAAGAUAUUGGAUCGAUAAAAAUUAAAUAGGAUAACAAUUUUGCCCUUGAAUGUAAUAAUAAUAUAUAUAAUUUUAAGCAUAAAAGUGAAAAUACAAUUUCAAUU
rnacentral:lncRNA from 1 species